UGUUUUAAUCGCUUCUUGACUUCUCUAUUUGGUUCGCCUCCAGCACAGCAAGAUGUCUGACAGCCUUGGCAUGUUGGAAGACCUGUGCUACCAGGACCCAUCCUGUUGUUGGAGACCCCGCCGCACAAAGCUAUGUUGGUGCUGUUGCUGUGAUCCAUGCACUGGAGAGGUAGUUUGGGAGGGAUGGUGCUGUUGCCCCUGUUGGCGCGGUAGGGGCAGUUAUGGAAGGCGCUGGCCAUGCUAAAUCCAGCUCGGAUAUCCACGGCACUUGAAGCAACCCGGACAUGAAAAGCAAGAUACAGAUUCACGGCCGACCCGACGGACAUGGCUUGAAGCAGUGCUAAGCACUCAGCACCUCCAGUGUGAAGGUUCAGUGUUGCUAAAAGACUCCCUCCCCAGGAAGUGUGUUUCCUAUGCUUUUCUCUGUCAAUCUAGGAACUUUGUAUUCUCUGCACUGUUAAGCGUUAAGGCCUCUUCAUGCUGUGCUGUCAUUUAAAUGGAUGCCUCUGCUUCCUUACAGUCCACUAGCAAUGCAUCACAGACCACUUGACACAUCCACAGAGGUGUGGAAGAGGUUUGGUGACCACGUGCAAAGAAUCCCUGUUGUGGUCCUUUGGAAAAACUUGAGAAAAUUUGCUCUCUCUUCUGUAUCCCUUCUGUCUGUAUUCUCAACUUCUUCUGUGCAUUAAAAUUCCUCUGCAGC